GAUGAACGCUGGCGGCGUGGAUUAGGCAUGCAAGUCGAGCGAGAAGUCCUUCGGGACGGACAGCGGCGAAAGGGAGAGGAAUACGUAGAAAUCUACCCCUGAGACCGGGAUAGCGUCGGGAAACUGGCAGUAAUACCGGAUAAUGUCUUAGGACCAAAGGUGUGAUUCCACUUGGGGAUGAGUCUACGCCCUAUUAGCUAGUUGGUGGGGUAAUGGCCUACCAAGGCGAUGAUGGGUAGCGGGUGUGAGAGCAUGAUCCGCCUCACUGGGACUGAGAACUGCCCAGACACCUACGGGUGGCUGCAGUCGAGAAUCUUUGUCAAUGGACGAAAGUCUGAACAAGCGACGCCGCGUGCGGGAUGAAGGCCUUCGGGUUGUAAACCGCUGUCGUAGGGGAACAAAUGUACGGGGGUACUCCCCUGUAUUUGAGUGAUCCUAGGAGGAAGGAGAGGCUAAGCUCGUGCCAGCAGCCGCGGUAA
rnacentral:rRNA from 1 species